GAUGAACGCUGGCGGCGUGCCUAAUACAUGCAAGUCGAGCGAACGGACGAGACGCUUGCUUCUCUGAUGUUAGCUGCGGGCUGGUGAGUCACACUUGGAUAACCUACCUAUAAGACUGGGAUAACUUCGGGCAACCUUAGCUAAUACCGGAUAAUAUUUUGAACCGCAUGGUUCAAAAGUGAAAGACGGUCUUGCUGUCACUUAUAGCUUGAUCCGCGCUGCAUUAGCUAGUUGGUAAGGUAACGGCUUACCAAGGCAACGAUGCAUAGCCGACCUGAGAGGGUGAUCGGCCACACUGGAACUGAGACACGGUCCAGACUCCUACGGGAGGCAGCAGUAGGGAAUCUUCCGCAAUGGGCGAAAGCCUGACGGAGCAACGCCGCGUGAGUGAUGAAGGUCUUCGGAUCGUAAAACUCUGUUAUUAGGGAAGAACAUAUGUGUAAGUAACUGUGCACAUCUUGACGGUACCUAAUCAGAAAGCCACGGCUAACUACGUG
rnacentral:rRNA from 1 species